rnacentral:rRNA from 1 species
AGCGAACGCUGGCGGCAGGCCUAACACAUGCAAGUCGAACGGAUCCUUCGGGAUUAGUGGCGGACGGGUGAGUAACACGUGGGAACGUGCCCUUUGGUUCGGAACAACUCAGGGAAACUUGAGCUAAUACCGGAUGUGCCCUUUGGGGGAAAGAUUUAUCGCCAUUGGAGCGGCCCGCGUCUGAUUAGCUAGUUGGUGAGGUAAAGGCUCACCAAGGCGACGAUCAGUAGCUGGUCUGAGAGGAUGAUCAGCCACAUUGGGACUGAGACACGGCCCAAACUCCUACGGGAGGCAGCAGUGGGGAAUCUUGCGCAAUGGGCGAAAGCCUGACGCAGCCAUGCCGCGUGAAUGAUGAAGGUCUUAGGAUUGUAAAAUUCUUUCACCGGGGACGAUAAUGACGGUACCCGGAGAAGAAGCCCCGGCUAACUUCGUGCCAGCAGCCGCCGCAG